CUGGCCUCGGGGAGUACCUCUUUGGCACUGCGCGCUGAUGACCCCCCCACCCCCGAACCGUGCUCUGCUGGGACUCCCGAACUGAUAGUAGUGAAAGUGUGCUUGACAAACUGGAGAGAUUCCAGGAGAGCUGGUCUGGUUGAAGUCCCUUCACAUGAGGCCAAGGGGUGAGGGCUGUGUGGUGCUGUCUAACACUCCGCCGAGCCCGAGCCCAGUGUUCCUGGCAUGCAUAUGCUGCAUUAAAGUAUGGCUGGGCAUCAUCUAAUCCACUGAGGGCUUCAAUAGAACAAAAGAGCAACAGAACACAAAACCGGAGAAAGGGAGAAUUCACUCUCUCUGCCUGACUGUGCUGGGACAUUGGUCUCCUCCUCUCCAACGGGAACUGCACCAUCAGCUCUCCUGGGUCUCCAGCUUGUAGACAGCACAUCGUGGGACUUCUCAGCCUCUGUAAUUGCUUGAGCCAAUUCCUUAUAACAUAUAAAUAUAUGUGUACACACACACACUAUUGUUGUUUCUCUGGAGAACCUAGACUAAUACAUUCCCUAUAACCACUUGGAUGACUUUAGAGAAGACAGCAACUCAAGCUGAUUAGACAAUUAGAAAAUUUACUAUUUCACAUAAGACAGUCUGAGGUUGGAUGACUCCAACUUUGGUGAAUUCAGCUGCUCAACUACAUAAUCAAAGACUUGGGUUUUUUACCUUUCCAUUCUUUGAGCUGUAUGAUGGUGGCCUUCUCUUAAGGUUAUCUCCAUUCUGUGGGUUACAAGAUGGCUGUGAGAGCUUCAGGUCACAUCUAUAAACUACACCAUUCAGAGGAAGAGAAAGAAUUACCUCUACUGAUACCUCCUAUUUAAAGUUAGGAAACCUUUGCCAGAAGCCCUUGCCUCUAGUUUCAUUGUCCAGAACCAGUCAACCAGCAAGCAGAAUGGGAUGACCAUGGUUGACUUAGGUAUCUCCCAGAGCUGGGGGAGGGUUAUCUUACUUGAUGGGUGAAGUGGCAGUUGUGAAAUAUGACACCAAAUUCUUUGACACUUCUUCCAUUAGAAGGUAGGGUUUAUGCCUUUAAAAAUCUGGGCAGGUUUAUGACUGCUUCAACAGUAGAGUACAGAGGACUCUGUAUGACUUCUGAGACAAGACAUACCAAGCCAUGUGGCUUCCAUAUUGCUCACAGAACGUUUGUUCUUGAAAACUUGAGCUGCCUUAAAAGAAGUUUGACUGCUCUAAGGCUACCAUGCAGUAAGAAAGUCAAAACCACGUAGAGGGCCAUGCUUAGAGACUCUAGUCAGUAGUUCCUGAUGAGCCCUGCUUUUGAAUGUUCCAGCCAAGGCAGCAGAUAUAUGAGUAAAGAAGCGUCCCAUUGUAGACCCCAGUCAUUUGAGUCUUCCCCCACUAAGGCCCCAGGUAUCAUGGAAGAGAGACAAACCAGCUCUCCUAUACUCUGUCCACGCCCUGAUCCACAAAAUCCAUAAGUGUAAUUAAGUGGUGGUUAUUUUACACCACAAAAUUUGGGAUAGGUUGUUGCAUAACAACAGAUAACUAGAACACGUUAGUCCUGAACAAAAUUAGGAUUCUUUUAGUAAGGCAAGAGAAUAGUUAGAGAAUGGUUGAUGUUGUUACGGACAACCACAGAGCCUGCCCUGUUUUUGAUGCUGGCUCUUAUAUUGAUGUCCAUGGGCAUUGGGUUUCUCGAACAUACCCAACUUUUAGAUUUUUUUUUUUUGAACAAAAAGUGUUUCCUAGGGUUAAGUGAUGUUCUUUGGGGGCAAAUAAAAGACAUCCUGGGUAGCUGGGUAGCUUAUUCGGUUAAGCAUCUCUCUUCGGCUCAGGUCAUGAUCCCAGGGUCCUGGGAUUGAGUCCUGCGUAGGGCUCCCUGCUCAGUGGGGAGCCUGCUUCUCCCUCUCCUCCCCGCUUGUGCUCUCUUUCGCUAUCUCUUUUUCUCUCUCUCUUCAAAUAAAUAAAAUCUUUAAAAAAAAAAAAAGACAUCCCACGGGCAUGAUUUUGUUCAGACAUUUUGGACCUAGGGUCCCUCAAGCCUCUGAAGAGUUACAUUCUAGACUUGGUCAGUCCAAAUUGUCACCAAGCUCCCCUGCAAACACAGAAGCCCUGUGGAACAAAAAAGAAGCAAAACCAUCCCUUAGUCUAAUCUAAUAUAACCUUGAAAUAAAGUUAAGAUAAAGGCUAGCUGAAAUAAGGAGACUCCCAAAAUUCAGUGCCUUAAAGAAAUUUAUUUCUCUGUCACAUAAUCUUCUGUCCAGUUUAGGCUGCCUUUGUCCUGCAAGAUCCAGAAAGGACCCAGAUUCCUUUUAUCUUGUUGCUCUGUCACCUUCUAGGAUGUUGUCCACAUCUGCAAGGCUGAACCUGAUCAUGGUUACAUUGUGUGACUAUCAUAUCAUAUUUUCCAGCCAACAGGAAGGGGAAAGACAGCAUGGAGGAGCCCAAUGUCUAUGUUUUAAGACCCAAGUCUGGAAGCCACCCAUGUCACUUUUGUUCACAUUCUGUUGCUAAGAACAUAGUCACAUGGCUCUAACUAUAUGCAAAGGAGAGUGGGAAAUGUAGUCUCUGGCUGAACAGAGGAGGGGAAAUGGAUUUUGGUGAAUAGCUGGCAGUGUUCUCCAUUCCUAGCAAGUCAGUUCUUUACUUGGAUAAUUUGGAGGCUAAGAUGAUGAAACUCUGAUAUAAUUGUGUAGUUUUUCUAGGGGCGCCUGUGUGGCACAGUGGUUAAGCGUCUGCCUUCGGCUCAGGGCGUGAUCCUGGCGUUAUGGGAUCGAGCCCCACAUCAGGCUUCUCUGCUGUGAGCCUGC